CAGCCGCCGCGGGAAUACGUAGGUGGCAAGCGUUGUCCGGAAUUAUUGGGCGUAAAGGGCUCGCAGGCGGUUUCUUAAGUCUGAUGUGAAAGCCCCCGGCUCAACCGGAGAGGGUCAUUGGAAACUGGGAAACUUGAGUGCAGAAGAGGAGAGUGGAAUUCCACGUGUAGCGGUGAAAUGCGUAGAGAUGUGGAGGAACACCAGUGGCGAAGGCGACUCUCUGGUCUGUAACUGACGCUGAGGAGCGAAAGCGUGGGGAGCGAACAGGAUUAGAGACCCCCGUAGUCCCUGUCUCUUAUAC
rnacentral:rRNA from 1 species